rnacentral:misc_RNA from 1 species
CACAAUAAACAUAUGAAGGCUGCACCGCCAACAGGCGGCAAGGCUGGAGUAUUUUAUUACCCUUGUCUUUUGCGCACUUGUUGUUUCCUGGGCGGGUUCGCCCGCCUCCAGGACCACAUGAUAAACCCUUUUUUAUGCAGUUGCAAUCAGCGUCAGUACAACAAAUGUAAAUCAUUUA